rnacentral:rRNA from 1 species
GAUGAACGCUAGCUACAGGCUUAACACAUGCAAGUCGAGGGGCAUCAGGAAGAAAGCUUGCUUUCUUUGCUGGCGACCGGCGCACGGGUGAGUAACACGUAUCCAACCUGCCCUUUACUCGGGGAUAGCCUUUCGAAAGAAAGAUUAAUACCCGAUGGCAUAAUGAUUCCGCAUGGUUUCAUUAUUAAAGGAUUCCGGUAAAGGAUGGGGAUGCGUUCCAUUAGGUUGUUGGUGAGGUAACGGCUCACCAAGCCUUCGAUGGAUAGGGGUUCUGAGAGGAAGGUCCCCCACAUUGGAACUGAGACACGGUCCAAACUCCUACGGGAGGCAGCAGUGAGGAAUAUUGGUCAAUGGGCGCUAGCCUGAACCAGCCAAGUAGCGUGAAGGAUGAAGGCUCUAUGGGUCGUAAACUUCUUUUAUAUAAGAAUAAAGUGCAGUAUGUAUACUGUUUUGUAUGUAUUAUAUGAAUAAGGAUCGGCUAACUCCGUGCCAGCAGCCGCGGUAAUACGGAGGAUCCGAGCGUUAUCCGGAUUUAUUGGGUUUAAAGGGAGCGUAGGUGGACUGGUAAGUCAGUUGUGAAAGUUUGCGGCUCAACCGUAAAAUUGCAGUUGAUACUGUCAGUCUUGAGUACAGUAGAGGUGGGCGGAAUUCGUGGUGUAGCGGUGAAAUGCUUAGAUAUCACGAAGAACUCCGAUUGCGAAGGCAGCUCACUGGACUGCAACUGACACUGAUGCUCGAAAGUGUGAGUAUCAAACACGG